UUUUGAUAAACUUUUCUCCUGCUCUAAAGUUUGCCUUGGUCUUUUCUUCUACCUUAUGCCCCUCAGUUGAAUUCUUUCUUCUGAGGCGGCAGGAAUUGACUUUGCUGAUAUAUUUCGGUGCGCUGUGACUCGGAUAACUUUCACCGCUAACAUACAUUGGCACUGCUUGACUGGGAUCCAUGCCCUAAUGACGGAGACUCGCUUUGUCACCCAGGCUGCAGUGCAGUGGCGCGAUCUCGGCUCACUGCAAGCUCCACCUCCAGGGUUCAUGCCA
rnacentral:lncRNA from 1 species